rnacentral:tRNA from 1 species
GGGCCAUUAGCUCAGUUGGCUAGAGCACUCCUCUGAUAAGGGAGAGGUCUCUGGUUCAAGUCCAGAAUGGCCCACCA